UAGCUCUUAAGCGUGAAAAAACCUUUUAUGAACAUGCGCAUUGUGUGACAAUCCUUGUGGACCUUAUGGUCAUGGACUCUCGGAGAUGGAGUAGUAUCGCACAUAUCGCUAUUCGCCUUAGUUUUUGUUUUUUUGUUUUUUUAGAGCAAGUUUUUGUUUUUUUUGGUGUUCUCUGUAAUUCCUUCAAUUCGAAAUGGUAUUUGUUUUCCCUUUUCUUACUGGGCCAAUCUCUCAGCCCAUCAUCCCUUUCUCCUUCUCCAGGCUCGGCCCAUUUCUUCCCCUCAACCCAGAUCAGCACGCUUCUCGUGGCGGCGCCGGCGGCAACUGCCACAACCACGACGCCACGCUCUGGCGACCGAACUGCUGCUAUGCCCCUCCCCUCUCCCUUUCCCCAAACAACACCCGAGAAUCCUCUUCCGAAACUGCUGCUAGCCUCGAAGGUCGCCGCCGGAAACGAACCGGCUCGAUUCCUUCACACCGGAGCACCGCCACACCACCCGGAGCAGGACGCCCCAAGCCUCCGACCAUUUGGAGCUCCGUCCACUACAUCGCCCGACUUCUGCAUUUUUUCCUUCCACCCCGGCCACUGUUUGCUGCCCCGUUCAUCUUCUCCAGCGAGGGAUUGCCUUUACAAGUUUGUGGCAGUAUUCCUUUAUGAUGUGCUGAUAUAUUCCAAGAGUGAGAAAGAACAUGAAGAGCACCUCAGCUCAUGGAGAGGUUAAAGGCACAUCAACUUUAUGCCAAGUUCAAUAAGUGCAGGUUUUCGAUAAAAGAAGUUAAUUUCUUAGGUCAUGUGGUAUUUGGAGGAGCUAUUGUGGACCUGGCCAAGGUUGAGUCAGGGCACAAUUGGUUUCAGCCAAAGAAUUUUUCAGAUUCAAACUUUUCUUGGACUCGCGGGUCAUUGCUCUUGGUUCAUUGAGAACUUAUCCAAGAUUGCUAGACCAACCACACAACUGAUAAAGAAAGAGCAAGUUUGGCUGGUUAAAGGCUUGCGAAGAGGGUUUCCAAGAGCUUAAAAGAAGACUGACAUCUGCACCGGUGUUGUUAUUACAGAACAUUAGAAAGGACUUGGAAGUAUAUUGAGAUGCUUCUCGCCAAAGCCUCGGAUGUGUACUGAUCCAUAUGGGGAAAGGCAGUAGUCUAUCCCUCACAACAGCUAUGAGCUCAUGAGGUUAAUUACCUCACCCAUGAUUUGGACUUAGUGGCGGUAGUAGUACAUGCCCUAAAGAUUUGGCGACACUGCCUAAUUGUUAACCGAUGUGAGCUUUAUAGUAACCAUAAGAGCCUAAAGUACAUCUUCACGCUGCCAUCGGAUCUGAAUGAGCCAAAGAAGAUGGCUAGAGUUGAUCAAAUACAAUGAUGUUGGAAUCAACUACACCUCGGGAAAGGACAAUGUUGGAGCGGAUGCUUUAAGCCAUCGAGCUUAUUGCGAUAGCUACAUGAUAGCAGAGAGUCAGCCAUCUCUACACAAAGAAUAUUAUAAAUUAAAUCUACAUGUGACUUGCUGAAAAUAAAAAGAUGUUCGAAGUAAAGUUUACAUUAGAGGAUCAAGUCCAAGAAGCCUAGAAGGACGAUGAAGAUCUUAAUUAAAGAGAUCCGCCUGGACAUGAAGAAGAGUAAAACACUAUGAUUUAGGGAAGAUGAGAAUGGUAAUAUCCUAUAUCAGGAUUGUUUAUUUGUACCCGACCAACCUGACAUCAAGCAGUUCAUCAUGAAUGAGGCUCAUGAAUUUGCGUAUUCCAUCCACCUUAGGACUGCAGAGAUGUAUCAAGAUAUCAAGGAUACGUUUUGGUGGUCUAGCUUGACGCUUGAGAUCGCUGAGUAUGUUGCUCUCUCAUAGCGUGAAGACACAAUAUCAUAAGCCUGCAUGAUUGUUCCUACCAGAGUGGAAAUGGGAAGAAGUCAAAUGGACUUUAUCAUGGGACUUUCAAGGACGAAGACUAGUUUUGACUCGGUAUGAGUUAUCGUUGACAAAUUGACCAAAGUCAACCCACUUCAUGCCAGUGAAGACCAAUUACCAAGGAGACAGGUUAACGGAUAUCUGCUUAUUCCAUCCGUAUCCUUGGAAGAUGUGCUCUCGAUCCCCUUGAGUUUAUUCAAGAUGGAUGGACGAGUUACACAUCCCUUGGUAGGGGGGAGGGUUAUUUAUAGCUUGGGUCGUUGUCCUCGACAAAUGUCCAUCAAUGCCCUUUUGGGAUGAAAAGUGGGAGGGACCAAGGGGGGGUGGUUAUUUAUAGCUUGGGUCGUUGUCCUUGACAAAUGUCCAUCAAUGCCCUUUUGGGAUGAAAAGUGGGAGGUAAGUUCUAGAAAUUAUCUGAGCCCUGCCGCCAAUUCUUUUUAACACAUUCCUAUGCUUGAGUCAUAUUUCUUCAUACUUAGGUCCUUUUUGUUUUGACUUGUUGACUUGCCUAGAUGGCUUGGCUAUCUUGUGGCACCUUGAUCGGACGAAGACUUCUAUUGAAUUGGUAUAUUGACAUGUCCGAUUAGAGGCAUGUCCGAUAUAUAA